rnacentral:rRNA from 1 species
ACUCAAAGGAAUUGACGGGGGCCCGCACAAGCAGCGGAGCAUGUGGAUUAAUUCGACGCAACGCGAAGAACCUUACCAGGUCUUGACAUCCGCUUAAAGCGUGAGAGAUCACGUGUCCCUUCGGGGGAAGCGAGACAGGUGGUGCAUGGUUGUCGUCAGCUCGUGUCGUGAGAUGUUGGGUUAAGUCCCGCAACGAGCGCAACCCUUACAUUCAGUUACCAGCGGGUAGAGCCGGGGACUCUGGAUGGACUGCCGGGGAGAACUCGGAGGAAGGUGGGGACGAGGUCAAAUCAUCAUGCCCCUUAUGACCUGGGCUUCACACGUGCUACAAUGGGCGCAACAAAGAGAUGCGAAAUCGCAAGAUGGAGCGAAACUCAAAAAAGCGUUCUCAGUUCGGAUUGUGGGCUGCAACCCGCCCACAUGAAGUCGGAGUUGCUAGUAAUCGCGGAUCAGCAUGCCGCGGUGAAUACGUUCCCGGGCCUUGUACACACCGCCCGU